UUUGAUUAUGGCUCAGGAUGAACGCUGGCGGCGUGCUUCACACAUGCAAGUCGAGCGAAGCACUUCGGCGGAAGUUUUCGGAUGGAAGCGGGAGUGACUGAGCGGCGGACGGGUGAGUAACGCGUGGAUAACCUACCUCAUACAGGGGGAUAACAGUUAGAAAUGACUGCUAAUACCGCAUAAGCGCAUGGUUUCGCAUGAAACAGUGUGAAAAACUCCGGCGGUAUGAGAUGGGUCCGCGUUGGAUUAGGCAGUUGGCGGGGUAAAGGCCCACCAAACCGACGAUCCAUAGCCGGCCUGAGAGGGUGAACGGCCACGUUGGGACUGAGACACGGCCCAAACUCCUACGGGAGGCAGCAGUGGGGAAUAUUGCACAAUGGGGGAAACCCUGAUGCAGCGACGCCGCGUGAGUGAAGAAGUAUUUCGGUAUGUAAAGCUCUAUCAGCAGGGAAGAAAAUGACGGUACCUGACUAAGAAGCCCCGGCUAACUACGUGCCAGCAGCCGCGGUAAUACGUAGGGGGCAAGCGUUAUCCGGAUUUACUGGGUGUAAAGGGAGCGUAGACGGCAUUGCAAGUCUGAUGUGAAAGGCGGGGGCUCAACUCCUGGACUGCAUUGGAAACUGUAGUGCUUGAGUGCCGGAGAGGUAAGCGGAAUUCCUAGUGUAGCGGUGAAGUGCGUAGAUAUUAGGAGGAACACCAGUGGCGAAGGCGGCUUACUGGACGGUAACUGACGUUGAGGCUCGAAAGCGUGGGGAGCAAACAGGAUUAGAUACCCUGGUAGUCCACGCCGUAAACGAUGACUACUAGGUGUUGGGGGACACAGUCCUUCGGUGCCGCAGCAAACGCAAUAAGUAGUCCACCUGGGGAGUACGUUCGCAAGAAUGCAACUCAAAUGAAUUGACGGA
rnacentral:rRNA from 1 species